CAGCUCGGACAGGGGACUCUGUAACACUAGCCUGCAGGCCUCCGCACAGCAGACCUCCGGCACUUGUGUCCUGGUUUAAGAACAGCCGUCCACUCACCCCAAUGUCACAUUUUACACAGAAGUCCAGCGGAGACCUGCAUUUCCACAGGGUGCAGGACACUGACCGAGGGAUCUACUUCUGCAGAGCAUCCAAUGCCAUUUUGUCCAGAUCGGUGACUUCUGUGAGGGUUUACCUUAGCGUGCUGGUUCCACCCACUCUGAAGUUGUGGCCCGCGGUUCUGACCACUUUGCUGGGGUCAGGGGUGAUGCUGCAGUGCCUGGUGUCAGGACACCCACCGCCAUCCAUUGCAUGGUCAAAGCAGG
rnacentral:lncRNA from 1 species